rnacentral:tRNA from 1 species
GGGCUGGGGCUCAGAGGUAGAGUGCUCUUCUAGCACAUGCGAGGCCCUGGGUUCAAUCCUCUGCAACACA